GGACGCUGCCUCAGCGUGGUUUGAUGAGCAGUGCCAUGUCCGCGCCCAGGAUUCGAACCAACGAAACACUGGACCUCUUGCAGCGGAGCGCACGAACUUAACCACUCAGCCACGGGGCCAGCCCCUGGACAUAGUCUCCACCAGAUGAUCCUGGCCCAAUGGCCAAAGUGCACCCUGCAUCAAAGCUGCUGAAGAACGUCCAGGAGAAUUUGGAAGAGGGAACUGUGAGAGUCCAGACUUGGUCUGGCUGGUUCCUUGAGAAAACGAGAUGUGUGGACUGAGAAACAGAGGAAGGAAGAUGAAAGUAAAUAAACAGAGAGGAGCAGAGUGAGCGAAAGCAGAAGUGUUUGAUUCCCAUGCUGAGGAAAGCUAUCUGAGCUGAGGGCGCCUGGAAGUUACUCCCUCAGAAAUUUCAGGAUGCUCAGCACCAGGAGAAGGUGCUCGCCACAAGAUGGUAGAAG
rnacentral:lncRNA from 1 species